UAGUGGCGAACGGGUGAGUAACACGUGGGCAAUCUGCCCUUCACUCUGGGACAAGCCCUGGAAACGGGGUCUAAUACCGGAUAGCACUUCCACUCGCAUGGGUGGGGGUUGAAAGCUCCGGCGGUGAAGGAUGAGCCCGCGGCCUAUCAGCUUGUUGGUGAGGUAAUGGCUCACCAAGGCGACGACGGGUAGCCGGCCUGAGAGGGCGACCGGCCACACUGGGACUGAGACACGGCCCAGACUCCUACGGGAGGCAGCAGUGGGGAAUAUUGCACAAUGGGCGAAAGCCUGAUGCAGCGACGCCGCGUGAGGGAUGACGGCCUUCGGGUUGUAAACCUCUUUCAGCAGGGAAGAAGCGAGAGUGACGGUACCUGCAGAAGAAGCGCCGGCUAACUACGUGCCAGCAGCCGCGGUAAUACGUAGGGCGCAAGCGUUGUCCGGAAUUAUUGGGCGUAAAGAGCUCGUAGGCGGCUUGUCACGUCGGGUGUGAAAGCCCGGGGCUUAACCCCGGGUCUGCAUUCGAUACGGGCUAGCUAGAGUGUGGUAGGGGAGAUCGGAAUUCCU
rnacentral:rRNA from 1 species